rnacentral:rRNA from 1 species
CCUGGCUGCAGUAGCGCGGUGGUCCCACCUGACCCCAUGCCGAACUCAGAAGUGAAAAGCCGUAGCGCCGAUGUUAUUGUGGGGUCUACCAAUUUUAGAGUAUGUAACUUCCAGGC